CGUGGAUUGGCUGUGAGAAGGCAGUAAGGUGAGGGGGGUGAGGCCUAGCCCCUACCAGUGCCCACUACAAAUUGGCCAUGCUACAUAGUGGGAUCCAUUAUAAGAACGUGACCUACUUUGUUCUUACCAAUAUGAUGAUGAUGCCAAAACCCAGAAGGAAAAGGACUUGCUCAAAAUAAGUCAGAGGCAC